AUGGAAGCCCAUUUCCGCCACCAAAAAAAAAAAAAAAAAAAAAAUCCUGAUUACUAAGUCAUAAUUACGAGAUAAAAAGUCAGAAUUAUGAGAUAAAAAGUCAGUUACUGGAGCCUCUGCAUCUGUGAGGGAGUGAUGCGCACGCGCACUGGAAAACUCAUAAUUACGACUUUUUAUCUCAUAAUUACGACUUUUUAUCUCGUAAUUAUGAGUUUUUUAUCUCGUAAUUACGACUUUUUAUCUCAUAAUUAUGACUUUUUAUCUCAUAAUUACUUUUUUAUCUCACAAUUAUAACUUUUUAUCUCGUAAUUAUGAGUUUUUUUUAUCUCAUAAUUAUGACUUUUUAAUCUCAUAAUUACGACUUUUUUAUCUCGUAAUUAUGACUUAGUAAUCAGGAAUUUUUUUUUUUUUUUUUGGUGGCGGAAAUGGGCUUCCAUAAAUUGG